AACGUACGCUGGCGGCACGCCUAACGCAUGCAAGUCGAACGAAGUAGCAAUACUUAGUGGCAGACGGGUGAGUAACAUUGUAGGUAUCUGCCCUUUUGGCCUGGAAUAACACGAGGAAACUUGUGCUAAUACCGGAUAAGUCUUUACGGAGAAAGCUUUAUGCACCAUUGGAUGAGCCUGCACUUGAUUAGUUUGUUGGUGGGGUAAUGGCCUACCAAGACUGUGAUUCAAUAGCUGAUUUGAGAGGAUGAUCAGCCACAUUGGGACUGAGACACGGCCCAAACUCCUACGGGAGGCAGCAGUGGGGAAUCUUGCACAAUGGAGGAAACUCUGAUGCAGCGAUGCCGCGUGAGUGAAGAAGGCCCUUGGGUUGUAAAGCUCUUUCGUCGGGGAAGAAAAUGACUGUACCCGAAUAAGAAGGUCCGGCUAACUUCGUGCCAGCAGCCGCGGUAAUACGAAGGGACCUAGCGUAGUUCGGAAUUACUGGGCUUAAAGAGUUCGUAGGUGGUUGAAAAAGUUAGUGGUGAAAUCCCAGAGCUUAACUCUGGAACUGCCAUUAAAACUUUUCAGCUAGAGUAUGAUAGAGGAAAGCAGAAUUUCUAGUGUAGAGGUGAAAUUCGUAGAUAUUAGAAAGAAUACCAAUUGCGAAGGCAGCUUUCUGGAUCAUUACUGACACUGAGGAACGAAAGCAUGGGUAGCGAAGAGGAUUAGAUACCCUCGUAGUCCAUGCCGUAAACGAUGUGUGUUAGACGUUGGAAAUUUAUUUUCAGUGUCGCAGGGAAACCGAUAAACACACCGCCUGGGGAGUACGACCGCAAGGUUAAAACUCAAAUGAAUUGACGGGGACCCGCACAAGUAGUGGAGCAUGUGGUUUAAUUCGAAGAUACGCGCAGAACCUUACCAACACUUGACAUGUUCGUCGCGACUCUAAGAGAUUAGAGUUUUCGGUUCGGCCGGACGAAACACAGGUGCUGCAUGGCUGUCGUCAGCUCGUGUCGUGAGAUGUUGGGUUAAGUCCCGCAACGAGCGCAACCCUCACUUUUAGUUGCCAUCAUUAAGUUGGGCACUCUGAAAGAACUGCCAGUGAUAAGCUGGAGGAAGGUGGGGAUGACGUCAAGUCCUCAUGGCCCUUACGUGUUGGGCUACACACGUGCUACAAUGGUAUCUACAACAGGAAGCAAGACUGCGAAGUUAAGCAAAUCCCUAAAAGAUACCUCAGUUCGGAUUGCACUCUGCAACUCGAGUGCAUGAAGCUGGAAUUACUAGUAAUCGUGGAUCAGCGUGCCACGGUGAAUGCGUUCCCGGGUCU
rnacentral:rRNA from 1 species